GCCUGAGAUGAUAGUACAUUUUCCAGAUCCAUUCAGUCUUGAUAACUCUGCUGAGUCUGCGAGCAAGGUUACCUGCUUGGUGAUGGUGGUGUGAUUAUGGACACCUGUCCACUGGGAAAUGCGAUUCAAAUGCAUCCUGUUAAAGAGCCAAGUGAUUAGAUCAUAAAUCUGGAUGCCCUUGAAGAUGAUGAAGGAAAUGCUUAUCUGUAAAGCAAUCAUCACACUGCCAGUUCUUCAUCUGCACAUUUUUACAGAUCCUGUGACCUCUUGUCCAUAAACACAAAUAUUAACUUAAGAGGUCAGCGAACCAUUGGUGAAUGCAUGCAGAGAAGAUUAAAAGAAACAAUACAAAAUCCUCUCCUGGGAAAGAUCAAAUGGCU